CUGGGGUUAGCUCAGCGGUAGAGCACUUGCCUAGCAUGUAUGAUGCACUGGGUUCGGAUCCUCAGCACCACAUA
rnacentral:tRNA from 1 species